GACAGAGGGUGCAAACGUUGUUCGGAAUCACUGGGCGUAAAGCGUGUGUAGGCUGUCAGAUAAGUCGGAUGUGAAAGCCCCGGGCUCAACCUGGGAAGUGCAUUCGAUACUGUUUGACUUGAGUACUGGAGAGGUUGGUGGAAUUCUCGGUGUAGAGGUGAAAUUCGUAGAUAUCGGGAAGAACAUCUGUGGCGAAGGCGGCCAACUGGACAGAUACUGACGCUGAGACACGAAAGCGUGGGGAGCAAACAGG
rnacentral:rRNA from 1 species